rnacentral:tRNA from 1 species
GAAAUUUAGGAUAAUGCAAGACCAAAGGCCUUCAAAGCCUUAAGUAGGAGUUUGACCCUCCUAAUUUCUGU